UCUUAAGCAUGCUUAUUCUGUUGGCUUAAAUGGGCUACUAUUUUGCCAUAUGGUGUGAGAUCAUAUUGAGCGAAGUUAUAUUUGAAAUGGUGUGAGGCUAGAUUGUGUGCAACUAUUCUGCCAUAUGGUGUGAGGUCAUAUUGAGCUAAGUUAUAUUUGAAAUGGUGUGAGGCUAGGUUGUGUCUAGUCAUGUUCGAAAUGAUAUAAGACUGAUUUGAACGAAUCACAAUCGUGAUCUGUGAACGCUGUUUAUAUGUUUUAAGUUAAUUAGUUGCAUAUUGCUAACAACUCAGAUUUUUGAAAAUAAUAAUUGAUGUCAGCGAUUUGACUAGUGGUCACGUAUCAAAGUCAGAGAUACGGGUUCGAUUCCCGUG
rnacentral:lncRNA from 1 species